AGGACGAACGCUGGCGGCGUGCCUAACACAUGCAAGUCGAACGGGGCCCGCAAGGGUUCAGUGGCGAACGGGUGCGUAACACGUGAAGAAUUUGUCCAACGGCGGGGGAUAGCCGGCCCAACGGCCGGGUAAUACCGCGUACGACCUUCGGGGGGCAUCCCCUGAUGGUGAAAGCCGCAAGGCGCCGAUGGAGAACUUCGCGGCCUAUCAGCUAGUUGGUGAGGUCAUGGCUCACCAAGGCGACGACGGGUAGCUGGUCCGAGAGGAUGACCAGCCACAUUGGGACUGGAGACACGGCCCAGACCUCCUACGGGAGCAGCAGGUGGGAAUAGUUGCGCAAGUGGGACGAAAGCCUGGACGCAGCGACGCCGCGUGUGGGA
rnacentral:rRNA from 1 species